CAGACAACUUUGAUGAAAAGC
rnacentral:miRNA from 1 species